rnacentral:tRNA from 2 species
GGAGAGGUGUCCGAGUGGUUCAUGGUGCCGCUCUCGAAAAGCGGUCUCCGCUUAAAGCGGAGCGUGGGUUCGAAUCCCACCCUCUCCGCCA